rnacentral:lncRNA from 1 species
GAAAGGUCCCUUCACUCCUGAAAAGACAACCCUUCUCCUGAGUAGGUGAUCUGAUUCAUCCCAAUAUGUGUUCUUCGAUGACUUAGAAUCAUUGCGCAACCAGGACGAGAAGCCAACGUACCGAUCUCAGCUGAACAGGAAGUUGGGUGCGGACCAGAUUACUGCACUCCUGAAUGAGCCUGCUCUCCAGUGCUCUCGUUCUGGGACUCCCCAUUCACAGCGCAAGUGUUGUUCCUACAGUGCUGCAGUUGUGUUUAAAGAGAGAGAGAGAAUGAGAUUUUAAAUACCAUGAUGCGGGAACUGGCCAGAGGAGUGAUAACUGAAGGGAAAAGCUAACUGAGCACAGUUGUGAACUGAAAGCACAGACACAGCAAGCAACAGUGAUGCCAGCAGCAUCCUGGGGAGCAAGGCUCCUUCCUGCUCACCCACGACUUAGGUUCAGGAACCGUGGAAGUCUUGCCACUGACGGCUGCUCUACAACAAAGUGUGGCUCCUGUUUCCAUCAGCAGAGCCACUCCAGUAACCGAGGUGCUUGUGCCAGCACAGAGCCUUCCUGAGCUGAUAAGCAUUGCCAGAGUCCGCACUGGGAGUCCAUCCUGCCUGAGUGCUUCACUUCAAAGACAAGAAUGAGAGUGCUGAUAAUUUACAUUUUGAGGCAGCCCAUCAGAUGUAUGUGCAACAAGAGACGUA